GAUGAACGCUGGCGGCGUGCCUAAUACAUGCAAGUCGAGCGAACAGACGAGGAGCUUGCUACUCUGACGUUAGCGGCGGAAGGGUGAGUAACACGUGGAUAACCGACCUAUAAGACUGGGAUAACUUCGGGAAACCGGAGCUAAUACCGGAUAAUAUAUUGAACCGCAUGGUUCAAUAGUGAAAGACGGUUUUGAUGUCACUUAUAGAUGGAUCCGCGCCGCAUUAGACAGUUGGUAAGGUAACGGCUUACCAAGGCAACGAUGCGUAGCCGACCUGAGAGGGUGAUCGGCCAGACGGGAACUGAGACACGGUCCAGACUCCUACGGGAGGCAGCAGUAGGGAAUCUUCCGCAAAGGGCGAAAGCCUGACGGAGCAACGCCGCGUGAGUGAUGAAGGUCUUCGGAUCGUAAAACUCUGUUAUUAGGGAAGAACAAAUGUGUAAGUAACUAUGCACGUCUUGACGGUACCUAAUCAGAAAGCCACGGCUAACUACGUG
rnacentral:rRNA from 1 species